GACGAACGCUGGCGGCGCGUCUUAAGCAUGCAAGUCGAGCGGUAAGUUGGAAGCUUGCUUCUAACCUAGAGCGGCGGACUGGUGAGUAACGCGUGGGUGACGUACCCUUGUGACGGGGACAGCUCCUAGAAAUAGGAGAGUAAUACCGGAUACGCUGAGUGUUGCCAGAGGACAUUCAGGAAAGGAACUUUUGUCCGCACGAGGAGCGGCCCGCGUACUAUUAGCUAGUUGGUGAGGUAACGGCCCACCAAGGCAACGAUAGUUACCCGGCCUAAGAGGGUGAUCGGGCACAUUGGGACUGAGAUACGGCCCAGACUCCUACGGGAGGCAGCAGCUAAGAAUAUUCCGCAAUGGACGAAAGUCUGACGGAGCGACGCCGCGUGGAUGAUGAAGGCCGGAAAAGGUUGUAAAAUCCUUUUAUGACUGAGGAAUAAGCAGUGUGAGAGAAACGCAUUGUGGUGACUGUAGGUCAUGAAUAAGCAACGGCUAAUUACGUGCCAGCCGCCGC
rnacentral:rRNA from 1 species